rnacentral:rRNA from 1 species
UACUCGAGUGGCGAACGGGUGAGUAACACGUGGGUGAUCUGCCAUGCACUUCGGGAUAAGCCUGGGAAACUGGGUCUAAUACCGGAUAGGAGCCAUUUUUAGUGUGAUGGUUGGAAAGUUUUUUCGGUGUAGGAUGAGCUCGCGGCCUAUCAGCUUGUUGGUGGGGUAAUGGCCUACCAAGGCGGCGACGGGUAGCCGGCCUGAGAGGGUGGACGGCCACAUUGGGACUGAGAUACGGCCCAG